AUUGAACGCUGGCGGAAUGCUUUACACAUGCAAGUCGAACGGUAGAGGGGGCAACCCCUUGAGAGUGGCGAACGGGUGAGUAAUAUAUCGGAACGUGCCCAGUCGUGGGGAUAACGUAGCGAAAGUUACGCUAAUACCGCAUACGAUCUAAGGAUGAAAGCGGGGGACUCGCAAGAGCCUCGCGCGAUUGGAGCGGCCGAUAUCAGAUUAGGUAGUUGGUGAGGUAAAGGCUCACCAAGCAACGAUCUGUAGCUGGUCUGAGAGGACGACCAGCCACACUGGGACUGAGACACGGCCCAGACUCCUACGGGAGGCAGCAGUGGGAAUUUUGGACAAUGGGCGCAAGCCUGAUCCAGCAAUGCCG
rnacentral:rRNA from 1 species